rnacentral:tRNA from 1 species
AGAAACUUAAGUUAUACUUAAACUAGAGACCUUCAAAGCCUCAAAUAAAGAACAUUAAGCCUUUAGUUUCUG